GACGAACGCUGGCGGCGUGCCUAAUACAUGCCAGUAGAACGCUGAAGAGAGGAGCUUGCUCUUCUUGGAUGAGUUGCGAACGGGUGAGUAACGCGUAGGUAACCUGCCUUGUAGCGGGGGAUAACUAUUGGAAACGAUAGCUAAUACCGCAUAACAAUGGAUGACACAUGUCAUUUAUUUGAAAGGGGCAAUUGCUCCACUACAAGAUGGACCUGCGUUGUAUUAGCUAGUAGGUGAGGUAACGGCUCACCUAGGCGACGAUACAUAGCCGACCUGAGAGGGUGAUCGGCCACACUGGGACUGAGACACGGCCCAGACUCCUACGGGAGGCAGCAGUAGGGAAUCUUCGGCAAUGGGGGCAACCCUGACCGAGCAACGCCGCGUGAGUGAAGAAGGGUUUCGGAUCGUAAAGCUCGGUUGUAAGUCAAGAACGAGUGUGAGAGUGGAAAGUUCACACUGUGACGGUAGCUUACCAGAAAGGGACGGCUAACUACGUG
rnacentral:rRNA from 1 species